ensembl:lncRNA
AGAAGAAGUCCACUGCUGCUUUUCACAUUUAAGAACAGGGAGCCUAAAAGUCCAUUGAUGACCAUGGCAUCCAGACAGCCAGGGGGAAUUAACCUGCUCACCACUGUGCUUUCAUCUGACUCAGUGCCGUUGCCACCACUGCUGCUGUUUUGUUUUCCACCAGCCUCUCUUUUCCCCUGUCUUCUCAUCUCCUUUAGCCUGGGUGUGGCUCCCAUGGAGACCCAAGCUGAGAAGCACCUUCCAUUCUUGCCCUUUCUUGAUCUUUCAGACACAGACUCAUGGGACUUCCAUCUCAGCUGCAGCCUCUCUCUCAGAUUGAAGUUGCUGUUUCAGAAGAAAUCAGCAGUGGCCACCACUUCACCUAAGCAAGCAGCACAUUCCUUGAGUUUUUCUUCUAGAAAAGGAUGAUGAUGUGUGAAAUGCCCCCACUCUCUUGACCUGUCCGCACAACCAAAAGCCAGGCGUGUCCGAGCAAGCAGAGUAGACACAAAGACAUAUUUGUUGAGCUAUGAAACCAAAUCCUGCAUUAGAGUCUUUAAUUCCUAACCCCUUUCCCCACUUCCUCUGCGCAUGCACAUGCAUGCACACACAAAUACACACAGAAACACAACACACACAGCCCUCUCGAUGGCCUCUGCCUGCACAUGGGUCCAAGCUGUCUAGGACCCUCUCCAGGGCAUUGCAAAAGGCUCCUAUCAUGUCUGACACUAUUUGUCCCUCUCCCUGAUCCAGCCCUGCACAUUUCCAGAGCUUGGUUAUGCCACCACCUUGCUCAAAAUCCCUCAGCAGCCUCCACUGGCCCCAGAAUAAAAGCAAUCCCUUUCGCCUGGCAUCCGCCACCUUUCCUAACCUGGCCCCAGCAAAUCUCUGCAGCUGUAUCUUUCGCUGCACCCACUCACCCUCUGCCCAAAUGGUCUACUCUGGUCUCCUGUGCCCACACCCACACUUUUCCUCCCUGUGAGUUUGCUCAUUCUACAUCCUCUGCCUAGACUGCUCUCCCCUCCAUCUCUACCUGUCAAAUCCCACCUCUCCUUCAAAGCCCGCUCAGGUGUCACAUCCUCCACAAAACUGCCCACACUUAGCCGGUGCCUGGCAAAAGCAGGACAUGUUCACAUGCAGUUUUUGCAAUGCAACUGAUUCGGCUCAGCCAUAUCAGCAUUUAAAAUCCUUGUGUCCUACCUUAGCCAACUCCCUUCCCACCCCUGGUUCUCACCCUAGGGGUGAGAGUUGACCAGGGGACGAGGUUUGGGGAUGGAGGGAAGAUGUCUGGCUUGUACAUUUCUUAGUUUUAAAAUAGCUAAGAGUAUAUGGUUUUGGUUGUUAAGUGUAUAAAAACAUCUCACUGUUGAAAUGACUGCAUCAGAAUCUCCUGUUCUCUACCUGUCCCAUGGUAGGUGCUCCACAUGCUUGUUGAAUUGGUGAUUAAAUCAAUGAAUGAAUGACUUUCCUACAGCUUCUGGCAGCUUCUUCCCUCCUUAGUUCACUCUGCGAUAACCAGUCUGACUCCCUGCAACACCUCCCACUUCUCCCCACUGCUAGACCCACUGAGUCCCUUCUGUUCUCUCAGCCCAUCCCCACCUUGGAGCUACAGCAAAGGGAAAGGGAAAUAUCAGGAGCCCAUGGCAGCCCUCCUAUGUGCAAUGACUCAGUGACUGGCACCUUGCCGAAUAGCCUACUCUGUUCCUUGCCUCUGUCUGGUUGGCUUUUGCCUUGCUCCUGAGAUCACGGCCUAUCCUUUUUCCAGGUCUCAGAAGCAACUAUACUCCCAGUUCUCUACUUUCUCCAUGGUAUAGCUUCCUUCUACCCAGAGGCUAAUUCCCUCUCUGAACCUCAGCCACAGGACAACUCUGCCACUAGCAGCCCAGCCUCUCUGAUGCCAUCUGCCUAUGCUAUCACCCAGUGCCCACCCCAGACUACUUAUCACCAGAUAUUGCUACUCUCUUCUGCCAGACUUGUGGUGGCAGAGAUUGGCUAGAUUCUCACCAAACUUAUCCGUCCUCUUCCUGGCACAUACCUGGACAUCACUCUGGAAUAUAGUACAGCCAUAUGACAUUGUUCUGAUAUGACAACAAUGGAAUGUAAGAAAGUGAAGAACCUCUGUACUUCAUCUCUAGGCCCAGCCCAUAGACUUGUUCAGUCUUCCUCUCUCUCCUCCCUUUCUUCUUCCUCCCCCGAACGUUUCUCUCUCUCUCUCUCUCUCUUUCUCUCAUGUCCCCCUCUUCUCCUUUCUAUCUAUCUCUAUAUCUAUCCAAAUGGAUGAUUGUAAAUGAGGACGAGGCUCUAGACUGCACUAAUACAGUAGCCACUAGCCACAUGCAGUUAUUUCAAUUUAAAUUACUUUAAAUGAAAGAAAAUUAAAAAUUGGCCAGGCACAGUGGCUCAUGCUUGUAAUCCCAAUACUUUGGGAGGCUGAAGCGGGGGGUGGAUCACCUAAGGUUGGGAGUUCGAGACCAGCCUGACCAACAUGAAGAAACUCCAUCCCUAUUAAAAAUACAAAAUUAGCCAGGCGUGGUGGCACAUGCCUAUAAUCCCCACUACUCGGGAGGCUGAGGCAGGAGAAUUGCUUGAACACAGAGAUGGAGGUUGCAGUGAGCCGAGAUUGCGCCAUUGCACUCCAGCCUGGGCAACAAGAGCGAAACUCUGUCUCAAAAAAAAAAAAAAAAAGGAAAGAAAAUUAAAAUUUCAGCUCCUCAGUUGCACUAACCACAUUUCAAACGCCUGCUCGCCACAACACAGGUAGAGAACAAGCUCACGAUUGCAGAAAGCGUUAUGGGAUGUGCUGUUCUGCGGAGCCCACGCUAAGUGAAGUCUGGCCCUCAAAUAAUGCCAUGGAGCAGAGUCAUCCCCUCCCCUACUGACCUUUAAACAAACAUGCUGUGAGUGAAUGGGAAAUGACCUUUGAUUGGGUGCAAUUGCUGAGGUUUUGAGAUUGUGACAGCAGUCAGUAUACCCCAACACCAGCCACUCAGCUGCCUUAAACACUCUAGACCCAGCACCCAGACUCCCUGGCUUGUCAUCCCUGCCUCCCUCCCUGGGCCCCAGAGAGAAGCACAAGGGUUCAGGAUUUCAGCCUCUGCAUUUUUGACCUUUCCUUCUUCCUGCAAAGCUCUGCAGCUCUUUGUAUCCCUCUCCCAACCUCUGUAUUUCCCAAACUCUUUUCAGCUUGAUUGCCAAAUUCAUUCCUACCUCUAUUAUCAUUUACUUAAUAUAUUUUCAAAAACAGGCUCUCUUUUUAAUUUGAAUAAAUAUAUUGACUAAAGACACUUUAUAUAACUCUUUAAAUGGAGGCAGACAAGUCCCAACAUCUUUAAUCAGCAAGCUGGAGACCCAGGAGAAUUGAUGCUGUAGUUUCAGUCUAAAGGGCAAAGAAAAAAAAACAAACAAAUAAAAAACACAAUGUCCCAGCUCAAGGUAGUCCCAAAAGAAAUAAUUCCUGCUUAUUCUUGGGAGAGUCAACCUUUUUGUUCUCUUAAGGUCUUCAACUGAUUGGAUGGGGCCCACACAACCUAGGGAAGGCCAUCUGCUUUACUUAGUCUUCUGAUUUAAAUGUUAAUCUCAUCCAGAAACACUCUCACAGAUACACCCAGAAUAAUGUGUGACCAAAUAUCUGGGCACUCUGUAGCACAAUCAAGUCAAUGCAUUAAAUUAACCAUCACAUUUACCACAAUUAGAAGAUACGAUACAAUGAAAACCUAACACUAUGAUUAAGCCCAGCUAGAAUCUGUAGUCUAUCAAAGGCUCUGGGUCUGAGGUCUGCUAUUUUUUUCUCUAUUUAAAAGGGAGGCCGGGCGCGGUGGCUCAAGCCUGUAAUCCCAGCACUUUGGGAGGCCGAGACGGGCGGAUCACGAGGUCAGGAGAUCGAGACCAUCCUGGCUAACACGGUGAAACCCCGUCUCUACUAAAAAAUAAAAAAAAAAUUAAAAAAAAUUAGCCGGGCGAGGUGGGGGGCACCUGUAGUCCCAGCUACUCGGGAGGCUGAGGCAGGAGAAUGGCGGGAACCCGGGAGGCGGAGCUUGCAGUGAGCUGAGAUCCGGCCACUGCACUCCAGCCCGGGCGACAGAGCGAGACUCCGUCUCAAAAAAAAAAAAAAAAAAAAAAGGGAGAUGAACAAGUAUUGGGGAGGUGUUAGAGAUGAACUAAUACCAUGAUGAGACUUUCACUUUAAAAUGAUCAGCAGGAUUGUCAAAGAAUCUAAAACAGAACACCUUUCCCACAGUGUGAUCAGCCCUCCAAUGUAUAUCCAUAUACCACAUCACAUGAGCCCCAGUGCCCUCUGGAGGGAUCCAUGUCCACCUGGGGGACACUAUCCUAGACUAUGGUCCCCUAAAGGCCAAGAUCACAUUUAAAUGGCAGUUGUGUCUCUCUUGGUGCCUCACAUAUAGGAGCCACUUAAUAAACAGUAAAUGAGUGAAGAUAUGUCCGGGAAUAGUCUCUGACCUAGUUGGCGGUUUCUGUCAGAAGCAGAACAUCAUGACAAAGGAAAUGGGACUAAAAUGUUAAACCACACUAAAGGUUCCAUCUACCAAAUCGCUCCUGUGGCACACUGGGGCAGGGCUAUGUCUAAAGGAAUUAAAACAUUCAAUAGCUCCAGGGCCAGAUUAAGACAUUCUGAGGCUCCAAAGUAUGUCCCAUAUCAUCCAAAAUACCAGAAUGUAUUUUUACAGACAGAACAUUGAACAUUUACAUCUAAACACAAAUUAAA